AUUGAACGCUGGCGGCAGGCCUAACACAUGCAAGUUGAGCGGAUGACGGGAGCUUGCUCCUUGAUUUAGCGGCGGACGGGUGAGUAAUGCCUAGGAAUUUGCCUGGUAGUGGGGGACAACGUUUUGAAAGGAACGCUAAUUCCGCAUACGUCCUACGGGAGAAAGCAGGGGACCUUCGGGCCUUGCGCUAUCAGAUGAGCCUAGGUUGGAUUAGCUAGUUGGUGAGGUAAUGGCUCACCAAGGCGACGAUCCGUAACUGGUUUGAGAGGAUGAUCAGUCACCCUGGAAAUGAGACCCGGUCCCGACUCCUUCGGGAGGCAGCAGUGGGGAAUAUUGGACAAUGGGCGAAAGCCUGAUCCAGCCCUGCCGCGUGUGUGAAGAAGGUUUUUGGAUUGUAAAGCACUUUAAGUUGGGAGGAAGGGCAGUAAGUUAAUACCUUGCUGUUUUGACGUUUCCAAGAGAAUAAGCACCGGCUAACUUUGUG
rnacentral:rRNA from 1 species